UCCUACGGGAGGCAGCAGUGGGGAAUAUUGCACAAUGGGGGAAACCCUGAUGCAGCGACGCCGCGUGAGUGAAGAAGUAUUUCGGUAUGUAAAGCUCUAUCAGCAGGGAAGAAAAUGACGGUACCUGACUAAGAAGCCCCGGCUAACUACGUGCCAGCAGCCGCGGUAAUACGUAGGGGGCAAGCGUUAUCCGGAUUUACUGGGUGUAAAGGGAGCGUAGACGGCAUGGCAAGCCAGAUGUGAAAACCCAGGGCUCAACCUUGGGAUUGCAUUUGGAACUGCCAGGCUGGAGUGCAGGAGAGGUAAGCGGAAUUCCUAGUGUAGCGGUGAAAUGCGUAGAUAUUAGGAGGAACACCAGUGGCGAAGGCGGCUUACUGGACUGUAACUGACGUUGAGGCUCGAAAGCGUGGGGAGCAAACAGGAUUAGAUACCCUGGUAGUCC
rnacentral:rRNA from 1 species